rnacentral:rRNA from 1 species
AUUAACGCGAAGAACCUUACCUAGGCUUGACAUGGCGCUGGUACCGACCCGAAAGGGAAGGGACCCGCAAGGGAGGCGUCACAGGUGCUGCAUGGCUGUCGUCAGCUCGUGCCGUGAGGUGUUGGGUUAAGUCCCGCAACGAGCGCAACCCUCGCUGCCAGUUACCAUGUCUGGCGGGACCGCCGGGUCCAACCCGGAGGAAGGUGGGGAUGACGUCAAGUCAGCACGGCUCUUACGUCCAGGGCUACACACACGCUACAAUGGCCGGUACAACGCGCAGCGAUGGGGCGACCCGGAGCGAAUCGCAUCAAAGCCGGUCUCAGUUGGGAUUGCAGGCUGCAACUCGCCUGCAUGAACGCGGAGUUGCUAGUAACCGCAGGUCAGCACACUGCGGUGAAUACGUUCCCGGGCCUUGUACACACCGAAU